rnacentral:lncRNA from 1 species
AUGUCUGUGAAAUGUCGUCUUUGACCGCACCGCUUGUAAUAAGGGGAAGAAGAGGCUCUGGGCUAGGGAGCUAAGCGUCCCGAUUUUGAUUUCAGACUCAUUUUCCCAAGCCAAUAAAUAUGGAUGGAUCGCCGCCGUGAAUUGCGAUGGGUGAAAGGGGGUACUGACCUGAAAAAGAGGACCAUGCAGCCUAUCAACAAAAGUCAUGUGACUUGGAGAAGGUACUCAACCUACAAGUCUAGAGGCAAGCCCAUCAAGUCUCAGAGGUAUGUACACCAGGUAAUUUUGACAACAGAGCAUGAAAUGCUACAGCUCUCCUCCACCUCAAAACUCUGUGUUGCCCAUGCCUGUGGCUGGGUAUCCCUUCAGCACUUUGAUACUCACCCCAGUCCCACAGCACUUACGUCCAUAUCCCUUCUCACAAUUCAAGUCCAUAGUAAUGGAGUGGAUCCUGUUCCUUCCUCCAGUAAACUGUUUAUGAGAUCACUCCCAGCUAAUAUUAGGCCCAAUCACUAUGAAUAUACACAACAAACAGAGAGAGAGAGAGACAGAGAAAGAAAGCAUUAAUCCCAAAUGGUUUCUGUUCUACAGUCUGGAACGAGGCUGCAGAACAAGCUCCGUCACCUUUGGGUGCCCCAUUAUUCAUCUAACCAUUGUGCAGAGAUAUCAUAUAAAACAUGUCCCUUAAAAAAAAAAAAGAUAUUUGUUAAGUACUUACUAAGUGCCAGGCACUGUACUAAGCCCUGGGGUAAAUUGGUUUGGACAUAGCCCCUGUCUCCCAGCGGGUUCACAGUCUUAAUCCCCAUUUUACAGAUGAGGGAACUGAGGUACAGAGAAGUUAAGUUACUUGCCCAAGGUCACACAGCAGACAAGUGACAGAGCCAGGAUUAGAAGCCUAGAAACUCUAUAUUAUAGAGAGCCUUUUCCCCUAGGGAAGCAACCCACUGACAAUACAGGGAAGCUGGGGAGCUCUCCCCUGGGGUGAUGCCCACCAGGGACAGUGAUGGGAAGGAAAGUAUGAUUUGUGCUUGCCAGAUUGGCACCAGGUCUUUCCUGCAGGGGUUUUUUCUCCUUUUCUCCAUUCUCUGGUCGAUUGCCGGGGACAUGGCCAUCCAUGCUCUUCCAAUCCGGGAGCUCUUGCAACAGGAAAGAUCAGCUGCUGGAAAACCCAUGGAAGGCCUUUGGGGAGUGCCAUGGCCGCGAGGUAAUCAGCAGGCAAAGUUAUUAUCAUUAUGCCGCUAAUUAAUUCCCAGCUCAUUAUGUUUCCUGUGGCUAAUUUGUACUCG